GUUGUUAUAUUUGGCUUCUUAGGGAAAUACCUGAGCAGAAUGUCCACCUCUCUUGGCGUCUCAUAAUUUUAUUAUCAGUCUUUCUAGUCACCUGCUCUUACAAAUAGGCCCGGGAACUUUGGGCAUCCUUGUGCCUUAAUGGUAUUUUUAAAAUGCCUCCUACCUCCUCUUUAAUUAACUGCAAUCAGGAAGGCUAGUUGGUGGACACAUGGUGUCAUCACUCUGUGAAAUGCUGCCUGAUGGCUAUAAACAUGGCCAUAUGCUCUCUGUGAAAUAUGGCUGCAAUCACCAGCAACAGGAACAGCUGAUGGGAGAAGAAGACUCGGCUUCUCACUUUCUUCUGCUUUAUUCUCCAAACCUGGGAGGCACUUUGCAGAUAAUUCUGACUCAAACUCAAAUGCAAACAUUGUGCUCGAUGUUCAGAAAGGACCAAGAAUUGAGAUUAUAAAGAUGCCACAAAUGUUCAACAUAAGGAAAUAAAAGGAGACCAUUCAGGACUUUUAUUUGAUGGCAGCUUCUGUCAGAGAAAGUCCACUGUGUCCAGUGGAAGCCAGAGGAGACUCCUUUCACAAGUAUGUUCAGAACUGACCUCCAGAAUGUUACCUGGAUAACUGGAUCAAUGGAAAUCCUCAAGGUACAAAGAGGAUAUUUUGAAACCAAUCUGUUUACAUCAGAAGUGUUGAACAAGUUUGUUAUACAAGAAAGGAAACAGUGGAAUGAAAAUCAAACUGACCCCAUCAGACUUCCUGGUCACAGAAAUGAUAAUCUGAUGGCGACCAGGCUGCAUCACUUUCCCUGGGGGUCAGUGUUUAGGAGACUGAGAGCUGGCUGAUUUGAAGGACCCUAGACUAAAGCAAGCAUACAUUGGACUGUCCUCUCUGGGGGGUCAGAUCCACUGCUCUGGACUGGACAUUGCAGAACAGACAAUGACAUUAUUAACACCUCAAAGUCAGGACUCUGUGCUGUGUCUUCACUUGAAGGCUUUCUUUUUCUGUAGGAAUGAGAUUUUUGUUACAUUCCUGAUCCCACGCCAUAGCUCUUUUAUUGAGGAAAAAUAUGAUUUAAAUACAAUGAGACAAAUUGAUAAGUCAGAGUCUGUCCCCAAAAACGCAUCAUCUGGAAAAUUAUCCUGAACUAUUAUCAAAAGCUAUUUCUACAAUCUUAACAUAGGUAGAGAACUUACCAAGUUAAACAUCAGAGGUGAAGAAUGGGUUCUAUCAACUGGAUUUAAUCAACAAGCUUUUUUCUUUUUAAGCUGAGAAGAGAGCUGAUAUCAACAAUAACCU
ensembl:lncRNA